rnacentral:rRNA from 1 species
GAUGAACGCUAGGCGGCGUGCCUAACACAUUCAAGUCGAACGAGGUAGCAAUACCUAGUGGCGGACGGGUGAGUAACGCGUGAGCAACCUGCCCUUGCGUGGGGGAUACCGUUUGGAAACGAACGUUAAUACCGCAUAAUGUAAUGAGAUCGCAUGGUUUUAUUACCAAAGAUUUAUUGCGCAAGGAUGGGCUCGCGUCUGAUUAGAUAGUUGGUGAGGUAACGGCUCACCAAGUCUACGAUCGGUAGCCGGACUGAGAGGUUGAACGGCCACAUUGGAACUGAGAUACGGUCCAGACUCCUACGGGAGGCAGCAGUGGGGAAUAUUGGGCAAUGGGCGAAAGCCUGACCCAGCGACGCCGCGUGAAGGAAGAAGGUCUUCGGAUUGUAAACUUCUUUUAUUAGGGACGAACAGAUGACGGUACCUAAUGAAUAAGCCACGGCUAACUACGUG